GACGACGCUGGCGGCGUGCCUAACACAUGCAAGUCGAGCGAGUGAAUCUCCUUCGGGAGUGAAGCUAGCGGCGGACGGGUGAGUAACACGUGGGCAACCUGCCUCAUAGAGGGGAAUAGCCUUUCGAAAGGAAGAUUAAUACCGCAUAAGAUUGUAGCUUCGCAUGAAGUAGCAAUUAAAGGAGCAAUCCGCUAUGAGAUGGGCCCGCGGCGCAUUAGCUAGUUGGUGAGGUAACGGCUCACCAAGGCGACGAUGCGUAGCCGACCUGAGAGGGUGAUCGGCCACAUUGGGACUGAGACACGGCCCAGACUCCUACGGGAGGCAGCAGUGGGGAAUAUUGCACAAUGGGGGAAACCCUGAUGCAGCAACGCCGCGUGAGUGAUGACGGCCUUCGGGUUGUAAAGCUCUGUCUUCAGGGACGAUAAUGACGGUACCUGAGGAGGAAGCCACGGCUAACUACGUG
rnacentral:rRNA from 1 species